CCUGCAUUGUACACACUGUGCA
rnacentral:miRNA from 2 species